UACGAAGGGGGCUAGCGUUGCUCGGAAUCACUGGGCGUAAAGGGUGCGUAGGCGGGUCUUUAAGUCAGGGGUGAAAUCCUGGAGCUCAACUCCAGAACUGCCUUUGAUACUGAAGAUCUUGAGUUCGGGAGAGGUGAGUGGAACUGCGAGUGUAGAGGUGAAAUUCGUAGAUAUUCGCAAGAACACCAGUGGCGAAGGCGGACUCACUGGCCCGAUACCUGACGCUGAGG
rnacentral:rRNA from 1 species